GACGAACGCUGGCGGCGUGCUUAACACAUGCAAGUCGAACGAAGAGCGAUGGAAGCUUGCUUCUAUCAAUCUUAGUGGCGAACGGGUGAGUAACGCGUAAUCAACCUGCCCUUCAGAGGGGGACAACAGUUGGAAACGACUGCUAAUACCGCAUACGAUCUAAUCUCGGCAUCGAGGAUAGAUGAAAGGUGGCCUCUACAUGUAAGCUAUCACUGAAGGAGGGGAUUGCGUCUGAUUAGCUAGUUGGAGGGGUAACGGCCCACCAAGGCGAUGAUCAGUAGCCGGUCUGAGAGGAGGAACGGCCACAUUGGGACUGAGACACGGCCCAGACUCCUACGGGAGGCAGCAGUGGGGAAUCUUCCGCAAUGGACGAAAGUCUGACGGAGCAACGCCGCGUGAGUGAUGACGGCCUUCGGGUUGUAAAGCCCUGUUAAUCGGGACGAAAGGCCUUCUUGCGAAUAGUGAGAAGGAUUGACGGUACCGGAAUAGAAAGCCACGGCUAACUACGUG
rnacentral:rRNA from 1 species